GAUGAACGCUGGCGGCGUGCCUAAUACAUGCAAGUCGAGCGAACAGACGAGGAGCUUGCUCCUCUGACGUUAGCGGCGGACGGGUGAGUAACACGUGGAUAACCUACCUAUAAGACUGGGAUAACUUCGGGAAACCGGAGCUAAUACCGGAUAAUAUAUUGAACCGCAUGGUUUAAUAGUGAAAGACGGUUUUGCUGUCACUUAUAGAUGGAUCCGCGCCGCAUUAGCUAGUUGGUAAGGUAACGGCUUGCCAAGGCAACGAUGCGUAGCCGACCGGGGUGGGUGAUAGGCGACACUGGAACUGGGCCGCGGUCCAGACGCCUACGGGAGGCAGCAGUAGGGAAUCUUACGCAAUGGGCGAGAGCCUGACGGAGUAACGCCGCGUGAGUGAUGAAGGUCCUCGGAUCGUAAAACUCUGUUAUUAGGGAAGAACAAAUGUGUAAGUAACUGUGCACGGCUUGACGGUACCGAAUCAGAAAGCCACGGCUAACUACGUG
rnacentral:rRNA from 1 species